UGCCACCCAGAGCAGGGACACGCCUCCUGGAAAGUGGUUACACAGCUCGGGCCACUCUUCUGAGGAUGUUGCAGGAAAGAACAGCCCACAGGCCUUGUACUCGACCACCAGACAGAAACAUAUCUACAGAAAUGACAGCCACGUACCCAAAGGUAUUUCUCAGCAGUUUUCAAAAUUCCAUCUGAGCCCCACACUGUACUUUCAAACACAAACAAUUCAUCCUGAAAGACCUUCUUGUGGCUUCUAGGAACCACAUCCACAGCAACAAAGGACACAUGGACUCCCCGGCUGGCUCCCCGGGUGCCCUUUAUAAAGUGCCAUUCACUCAGUGCACAGACACAUGAUUUUUUAAAAGGUAUUUCUUUUAAACUUCACGUUGAAACAAUUAGAUGAUUCUUAGGAUGCAAAUGCAGCUAAUUAAUUAACGCUUUCUGGCAAUGUGAAAUCUCACUGAGUUAUGAUCGAGGUGUAAACAGGGCUAUUUGCCUCCCAGAAGCUUGGAGUCGAGUGGGGUCCCCAUUGUUUUGCUGAAUAAAAGUUCUAGAGACCAUGCGUGUUCCUAGACUUCUGGUUCCCUU
ensembl:lncRNA